UACGUAGGUGGCAAGCGUUGUUCGGACUUAUUGGGCGUACAGGGCGCGUAGGCGGUUUGUUAAGUCAGCUGUGAAAGCCCGGGGCUCAACCCCGGAGAGUCGACUGAUACUGGCAGACUAGAGUACGGAAGAGGUAGCUGGAAUUCCCGGUGUAGCGGUGAAAUGCGUAGAGAUCAGGAGGAACACCGGUGGCGAAGGCGGCAUCCUGGACCGGCAUUGACGCUGAGGCGCGAAAGCCAGGGGAGCAAACGGG
rnacentral:rRNA from 1 species